AAUAGAUACCCAGGUAGUCCACGCCGUAAACGAUGAGUGCUAAGUGUUAGAGGGUUUCCGCCCUUUAGUGCUGCAGCAAACGCAUUAAGCACUCCGCCUGGGGAGUACGGUCGCAAGACUGAAACUCAAAGGAAUUGACGGGGGCCCGCACAAGCGGUGGAGCAUGUGGUUUAAUUCGAAGCAACGCGAAGAACCUUACCAGGUCUUGACAUCCUUCGCUACUUCUAGAGAUAGAAGGUUCCCCUUCGGGGGACGGAGUGACAGGUGGUGCAUGGUUGUCGUCAGCUCGUGUCGUGAGAUGUUGGGUUAAGUCCCGCAACGAGCGCAACCCUUGACCUUAGUUGCCAGCAUUCAGUUGGGCACUCUAAGGUGACUGCCGGUGACAAACCGGAGGAAGGUGGGGAUGACGUCAAAUCAUCAUGCCCCUUAUGACCUGGGCUACACACGUGCUACAAUGGAUGGUACAAAGGGCUGCAAGACUGCGAAGUCAAGCCAAUCCCAUAAAACCAUUCUCAGUUCGGAUUGCAGG
rnacentral:rRNA from 1 species